CCUGGCGGCCUUAGCGCGGUGGUCCCACCUGACCCCAUGCCGAACUCAGAAGUGAAACGCCGUAGCGCCGAUGGUAGUGUGGGGUCUCCCCAUGCGAGAGUAGGGAACUGCCAGG
rnacentral:rRNA from 3 species